UCGAGGAUCUUCGGCAAUGGGCGCAAGCCUGACCGAGCGACGCCGCGUGCGGGAUGAAGGCCUUCGGGUUGUAAACCGCUGUCAGUGAGGAGGAAAUUCGCGGGGGUUCUCCCUCGUGAUUGACCUAUUCGCAGAGGAAGGGUGGGCUAAGCUCGUGCCAGCAGCCGCGGUAAGACGAGCCACCCAAACGUUAUUCGGAAUUACUGGGCUUAAAGGGUGCGUAGGCGGUGCAGCAAGUCGGGAGUGAAAUACCCCAGCUUAACUGAGGAAUUGCUUUCGAUACUGCUGUGCUUGAGUGAGACAGAGGUAAGCGGAACUUAGGGUGGAGCGGUGAAAUGCGUUGAUAUCCUAAGGAACACCGGUGGCGAAGGCGGCUUACUGGGUCUCAACUGACGCUGAGGCACGAAAGCUAGGGUAGCAAACGG
rnacentral:rRNA from 1 species